GACGAACGCUGGAGGCGUGCUUAACACAUGCAAGUCGAACGAUGAAAUGGAGCUUGCUCCAUGGAUUAGUGGCGAACGGGUGAGUAACACGUGAAUAACCUGCCCUUAAUUUUGGAAUAACCCAGGGAAACCUGGGCUAAUACCGGAUAAGUAAACCUGUGGCAUCACAUGGUUUUGGAAAGUUUUUCGAUUAAGGAUGGAUUCGCGGCCUAUUAGCAUGUUGGUGAGGUAAUGGCCCACCAAGGCGACGACGGGUAGCCGGCCUGAGAGGGUGAACGGCCACACUGCGACUGAGACAGGGCCCAGACUCCUACGGGAGGCAGCAGUGGGGAAUAUUGGGCAAUGGACGAAAGUCUGACGCAGCGACGCCUCGUGAGGGACGAAGGUCUUCGGAUUGUAAACCUCUUUCAGCAGGGACGAAGCGAAAGUGACGGUACCUGCAGAAGAAGCACCGGCUAACUAUGUGCCAGCCGCCGCCGUAA
rnacentral:rRNA from 1 species